rnacentral:rRNA from 1 species
CCUACGGGUGGCAGCAGUGAGGAAUAUUGGUCAAUGGACGAGAGUCUGAACCAGCCAAGUAGCGUGAAGGAUGACUGCCCUAUGGGUUGUAAACUUCUUUUAUAUGGGAAUAAAAUGUUCCACGUGUGGGAUUGCGUAUGUACCAUAUGAAUAAGGAUCGGCUAACUCCGUGCCAGCAGCCGCGGUAAUACGGAGGAUCCGAGCGUUAUCCGGGUUUAUUGGGUUUAAAGGGAGCGUAGGUGGAUUGUUAAGUCAGUUGUGAAAGUUUGCGGCUCAACCGUAAAAUAGCAGUUGAAACUGGCAGUCUUGAGUGCAGUAGAGGUGGGCGGAAGUCGUGGUGUAGCGGUGAAAUGCUUAGAUAUCACGAAGAACUCCGAUUGCGAAGGCAGUUCACUGGACUGCAACUGACGCUGAGGCUCGAAAGUGUGGGUAGCAAACAGGAUUAGAUACCCUUGUAGUC